rnacentral:sRNA from 1 species
UCUGAUGAAAGAGCUUUCAUGACAUGCGCACACAGCUUCCACUGGAACUGUGUUGAUGGAUUUCUUGCUGCUAACGGGACAUGCCCCAUUUGUGAAGAAGUAACUGAAAUCGCUUAUACGCAACAAGCCACUUUGGUUUGGAAUUCAACAAAUCCAAUGCAAAGCCAAGGCCGUUCAGCUCAAGUACAGAGACCUGCACAGGAGCAGCCCAAUCCACCACAACCU